AGAUUCUCCGAAUAUAAGUUUUUUGAAUUUACCAUAAAUAUCUGAACUACUCUGAAGUGAAUAGGAUUUUCAGUAUGUCCAGACAUUGACUUGGUGAACUGCAGUAAAAAAGUUUCUCCUGGAAUACGUAGAGUCAUUAUAGAUUCUUUGCGGUUGCAUCUCCUAAAUACUGAGCAGAA